rnacentral:rRNA from 1 species
AUACGGAGGAUGCGAGCGUUAUCCGGAUUUAUUAGGUUUAAAGGGUGUGUAGGCGGUAUUUUAAGUCAGUGGUGAAAUCUCGGAGCUUAACUUCGAAACUGCCAUUGAUACUGGAAUACUUGAGUAUAGUUGAGGUAGGCGGAAUAUGUAAUGUAGCGGUGAAAUGCAUAGAUAUUACAUAGAACACCGAUUGCGAAGGCAGCUUACUAAACUAUUACUGACGCUGAUGCACGAAAGCGUGGGUAGCAAACAGGAUUAGAAACCCUAGUAGUCC